rnacentral:rRNA from 1 species
ACUACGGAGAGUUUGAUCCUAGCUCAGGACGAACGCUGGCGGCGGGCUUAACACAUGCAAGUCGCACGGGAAAGCGCCCUUCGGGGCGUGAGUACAGUGGCGAACGGGUGCGUAAUGCGUAGACAAUCUGCCUUCGGGAGGAGGAUAACUGCCGGAAACGGCAGCUAAUCCUGCAUACCGGUCGUGAGGUCGCCUGGCUUCACGAUGAAAGCUUUCGAGCGCCCGGAGAUGAGUCUACGUCCGAUUAGCUUGCUGGUGAGGUAACGGCUCACCAAGGCGACGAUCGGUAGCUGGUCUGAGAGGAUGAUCAGCCACACUGGGACUGAGACACGGCCCAGACUCCUACGGGAGGCAGCAGUGAGGAAUCUUGCGCAAUGGAGGCAACUCUGACGCAGCCACGCCGCGUGGAGGAAGACACCCCGCAGGGGCGUAAACUCCUUUUGCGUGGGAAGAACCCCCGGAUUUCGAUCCGGGCUGACGGUACCACGAGAAUAAGCACCGGCUAACUCCGUGCCAGCAGCCGCGGUAAUACGGAGGGUGCAAGCGUUGUCCGGAAUCACUGGGUGUAAAGGGUGUGCAGGCGGACCU